rnacentral:antisense_RNA from 1 species
AUAUACAUACAUACAUAGACUGAAUCCUCACACGAAGAGCCCUACAGGCGUGAUAACAGUAAGGGAGGUGCAAGAAAGGUCUCCUUGGAGUUGGGAGGCGUAUUUACAGCUACUAGAGAAGGGGGAAGUGCCAGCUCCCCGAGAAGAAAGCAGGAGGAUGCUGAGAGACUGAAGCUGAAAUUUUCUGCCUGCUUCCUCACUCAUUUCGUUGGUUUCAGCCGUCUGAAAAACCCUUGUGAGAGGAGCAAAAAGGUCAAAGGAAGAUUGUUGCCUUGCUCUCAGUCUUCAAAAUUUUCGUUCCUCUGUUUUUUUUGUUUUGAGACGCAGUCUCGCUCUGUCGCCCAGGCUGGAGUGCAGUGGCGCGAUCUCGGUCACUGCAACCUCCGCCUCCCUGGUUCUAGCGAUUCUUCUGCCUCAGCCUCCUGAGUAGCUGGGACUACAGGCGCGUGCCACCACACCCGGCUAAUUUUUUUGUACUUUUGGUAGGGACGGGGUCUCACGGUGUUAGCCAGGAUGGUCUCUAUCUCCUGAACUCGUGAUCCGCUCGCCUCGGCCUCCCAAAGUGCUGGGAUUACAGGCGUGAGCCACCGCGCCCGGCCGGUCCUCUGUUUUUAAACUGUAAAGGACUCCACCGGAUUGUUCGAAGUCUCCGAUGUCCCGCGAUCUGGUGGCCGCAGAAGAAAGAGGCCGAGUCGGCGGGGACUGGGUACCACCAGUUAGCGGCCUACGGGCAACCUCCCGGACGCGCGCGCCGGACUGACGUUAAACAGAAAACAGUUGUUUGGUUUUGAAGAUAAUCAGUUACCCCUCUAGAGAGUUCUAACAGGCAAGGAACUGAGUCCUCCACCCAAAAGUCAGCUUGAACUUGCCAGAUAUGCGAGUGUGCCACCUUGGAAGGGAAUCCUCCAGCUACAGUCAAGGAUUGGGAUGAUUGCAGCCUAUGUUUACAACUUGACUUCAACCUCAAGGAAGACCCUGAGCCAUAACCACCUAGCUAAAUCACUUCUGGAUUCCUGACUCACAGAAAUUAGUUUUGGGAUAAUUUGUUACAUGGCAAUAGAUAACAUAAUAGACAUGGGGAGCCCCACAAUUAAGCUUACAGAGCUACCAUAAUUUUUAUAAUGAAACUUGAAAAAGAUGGAGUUUCACUCUUGUUGCCCAGACUGGAGGACAAUUGCGUGAUCUUGGCUUAAUGCAACCUCUGCCUCCUGGGUUCAAGUGAUUCUCCUGCCUCACCCUCCUGAGUAGUUGAGAUUACAGGUGCAUGCCACCACGCCUGGAUGAUUUUUGUAUUUUUAGUAGAGACGGGGUUUCACCAUAUUGGCCAGGCUGUUCUCGAACUCCUGAGCUCAGGUGAUCUGCCUGCCUCAGCCUCCCAAAGUGCUGGGAUUACGGGAGUGAGCCACUGUGCCUGGCCUCUUUUUCUUUUUUCAAAAAGACACUAGUCAUUUCAAGUCUGUAUUUUUUUUUUUUUUUUUUUUUGAGACAGAGUCUCAUUCUGUGGCCCAGGCUGGAGUGCAGUGGCACGAUCUUGGCUCACUGCAACCUCCGCCUCCUGGGUUCAUGCGAUUCUCCUGCCUCAGCCU